rnacentral:rRNA from 1 species
UACGUAUGGAGCGAGCGUUGUCCGGAUUCAUUGGGCGUAAAGAGCUCGUAGGCGGCUUGGUAAGUCGGAUGUGAAACCUCCAGGCUCAACCUGGAGUCGCCAUCCGAUACUGCCAUGGCUAGAGUCCGGUAGGGGCCCACGGAAUUCCUGGUGUAGCGGUGAAAUGCGCAGAUAUCAGGAGGAACACCGAUGGCGAAGGCAGUGGGCUGGGCCGGCACUGACGCUGAGGAGCGAAAGCGUGGGGAGCGAACAGG